rnacentral:rRNA from 1 species
CCUACGGGCGGCAGCAGUAGGGAAUAUUGCUCAAUGGGGGAAACCCUGAAGCAGCAACGCCGCGUGGAGGAUGAAGGUUUUCGGAUUGUAAACUCCUUUUGUUAGAGAAGAUAAUGACGGUAUCUAACGAAUAAGCACCGGCUAACUCCGUACCAGCAGCAGCGGUAAUACGGAGGGUGCAAGCGUUACUCGGAAUCACUGGGCGUAAAGAGCGCGUAGGCGGGAUAGCAAGUCAGAUGUGAAAUCCUAUGGGUUAACCAUAGAACUGCAUUUGAAACUGUUAUUCUAGAGUAUGGGAGAGGUAGGUGGAAUUCUUGGUGUAGGGGUAAAAUCCGUAGAGAUCAAGAGGAAUACUCAUUGCGAAGGCGACCUGCUAGAACAUAACUGACGCUGAUGCGCGAAAGCGUGGGGAGCAAACAGGAUUAGAUACCCCGGUAGUC